rnacentral:rRNA from 1 species
GGAGGGUGCAAGCGUUAAUCGGGAAUUACUGGGGCGUAAAGGGUGCGUAGGUGGAAGAAUAAGUUGGAUGUGAAAGCCCUGGGGCUCAACCUAGGGAAUUGCAUUCAAUACUGUUCAUCUAGAGUACAGUAGAGGGGAGUGGAAUUUCCGGUGUAGCGGUGAAAUGCGUAGAUAUCGGAAGGAACAUCAGUGGCGAAGGCGACUCUCUGGACUGAUACUGACGCUGAGGCACGAAAGCGUGGGGAGCAAACAGGAUUAGAUACCCUGGUAGUCCACGCCGUAAAUGGUGAGAACUAGCUGUUUGGAGUUUACUCUGAGUGGCGAAGCUAACGCGAUAAGUUCUCCGCCUGGGGAGUACGGCCGCAAAGGCUAA